rnacentral:rRNA from 1 species
AACGCGAAGAACCUUACCAGCCCUUGACAUGGUCGGACGGUUUCCAGAGAUGGAUUCCUUCACUUCGGUGACUGACACACAGGUGCUGCAUGGCUGUCGUCAGCUCGUGUCGUGAGAUGUUGGGUUAAGUCCCGCAACGAGCGCAACCCUCGCCUUUAGUUGCCAUCAUUUAGUUGGGCACUCUAGAGGGACUGCCGGUGAUAAGCCGGAGGAAGGUGGGGAUGACGUCAAGUCUUCAUGGCCCUUACGGGCUGGGCUACACACGUGCUACAAUGGUGGUGACAGAGGGCAGCUAGACCGCGAGGUCAUGCUAAUCCCUAAAAGCCAUCUCAGUUCGGAUUGCACUCUGCAACUCGAGUGCAUGAAGUUGGAAUUGCUAGUAAUCGCAGAUCAGCACGCUGCGGUGAAUACGUUCCCGGGCCUUGUACACACCG